GGUGGAGCAGCUUGGUAGCUCGUCGGGCUCAUAACCCGAAGGUCGUAGGUUCAAAUCCUGCCUACCA
rnacentral:tRNA from 1 species